GAUGAACGCUAGCUACAGGCUUAACACAUGCAAGUCGAGGGGAAACGGCAUUUAGUGCUUGCACUGAAUGGACGUCGACCGGCGCACGGGUGAGUAACGCGUAUCCAACCUACCCAUUACUGUGGGAUAACCUGCCGAAAGGCAGACUAAUACCGCAUAGUCUUCGAUGACGGCAUCAGAUUUGAAGUAAAGAUUUAUCGGUAAUGGAUGGGGAUGCGUCUGAUUAGCUUGUUGGCGGGGUAACGGCCCACCAAGGCGACGAUCAGUAGGGGUUCUGAGAGGAAGGUCCCCCACAUUGGAACUGAGACACGGUCCAAACUCCUACGGGAGGCAGCAGUGAGGAAUAUUGGUCAAUGGACGAGAGUCUGAACCAGCCAAGUAGCGUGCAGGAUGACGGCCCUAUGGGUUGUAAACUGCUUUUGUAUGGGGAUAAAGUCAAUCACGUGUGAUUGUUUGCAGGUACCAUACGAAUAAGGACCGGCUAAUUCCGUGCCAGCAGCCGNNNUAAUACGGAAGGUCCGGGCGUUAUCCGGAUUUAUUGGGUUUAAAGGGAGCGUAGGCCGGAGAUUAAGUGUAUUGUGAAAUGUAGACGCUCAACGUCUGACUUGCAGCGCAUACUGGUUUCCUUGAGUACGCACAACGUUGGCGGAAUUCGUCGUGUAGCGGUGAAAUGCUUAGAUAUGACGAAGAACUCCGAUUGCGAAGGCAGCUGACGGGAGCGCAACUGACGCUUAAGCUCGAAGGUGCGGGUAUCGAACAGG
rnacentral:rRNA from 1 species